GCCGGGUUGUGAAAGGGGCUGACAGUGCUGCUCUCCGGCAGAGGGGUGGAGGCAGGUGCGUGCACAGGUGUGCAGAUGAAAAGGACAACCAAGACACAUGGGACCUCUCAUGAUCCCUUCCUGUGGUUUCCUAUGGAGCAAACCACCCUGACACUUCGUGUUUCAUUAUAACAGCAAUUUAAAAAAUCAUCAACUCCUGGAAGGGCUUGUGGGUAGGUAUGGAGGAAGAUGAGCAAUGGUCUGCACAGAUGACAGAACGUAUCUGCAUCCCUAAGUCACCCCAGCAAGGUGAUCCAUGGUUGCAACUAGGACAAAACAAGCAUGCAGGAGGCACCCGGUUCCCAACAGCAUUUCCUGUAUUUCAGCAAGACCGCGUCAGGUUUUCCGCUGAACCAAAGGGGCCUCUUUCCCCAGAACCAGGCCUGGCCAUCUCUGAACAAGGGAUCUUGGAGGUGCGGCACUAGAAACACUCAUGUUGUCCUGGUUGACCAAGAUCAGUGUUUCUGCCAUUCACAGGCACCAAGCAGCUUCAAGUAAAUCCUCGGAAAAAGGGGAGUAGUGGGGGUGGGGCCAGCCCGUGAUGAUGGGCCUGAAAUUGGCACCCGUCCUUGGGAAGCUUUCGCGUGGGUUUGGGAUUCCGCUGAUGCCGCCCGGCUCCUCAGCAGCACUGGGAAGCCGCUGAGUCUCAUGCGGGUUGGUGGGUCCUGAGUGCUGCAAGGCCCUGCGGAGGGGCUGCUCUCUGAAAGCUGCCCUGACCCCUCCAUUUGCCUGUUAGGUCCUGAAAGCAGAGCCAGCCAGUCACCUGCUUGUAACGAAAGCUGGUGUCUCCAACCCUCCAGUUUCAUUCUGACAAGGGCAGUGUCAGAGCCCCAAGCUUCGUGUUACCGAGGAAGCAUUUUAUCUCCACUUGACUCCAGGUGCCCUGUCCUUGUCACUGAGGGAUCUCUCACCACAGGGCGAUCAAAGAGGGGGUAAAACCAGGUCUCCAGGGAAAGAGGGGGGAAGAGAACGGGGCAAUCCAGGAUGGGUAUUCCAGGGUGGGCAUUCCAGGAGUAGCCUCCCACCGCAGGGUGAGCCAGCCUUCACACCGGCUGCUUCCUCUGUUGGAUGCUGUCACCCAAACUUCUCUGUAACUCCUACCUGGAGACGCUGCCUCUGGUCUCUGCUCCAAUGAGACCUCCCUGUGGCCCUACUUAAACAGCAGCUUCCCUCAGUGCCACCGCAUCGUCCACACCCCAAUGCCCCUACUCCGUGAUUUCUUUUUCUGCUCAGCACCUGUUAUCCUGUCGUCCAUGCUUUGUGUUGACUUGGGUUUUGUUUGCUGGUCUCUCCUCUGGCUUCCCCUGGAAUGUGAGUUCCAUGAGGGUAGAGUGUGAGUCACUCUUGUUCUUGCUGUUUCUCCUGUGCCCAGAACAGUGCCUGCUGCUCAGUCAAUGCCUGAUGAUGGAGUGAACAGAUUUCUGCUUUCUGUGGCCACCUCUGGGUCACAGAAGGCCCAGAGGUUACAAGCAACCUCUAGUAUUUGAAGAAUGGAGAAAAAGGACAGAGAAGUAUGAAAAGGAGCCUCGCUUGGAUGCAUCCACUGAGCACUGAAGGGGAGGACCCUUAGGUGGCCCCGUCCUUUGCAAACAGGCUCAGUGCUUCUCCCACACUCACCCAGGGCCCAGAAUCCAUGCAUACAUGCAGGGUGGGGCAGGCCGACUCAGACCGACAUGUCCAGCCUCUGCCCAACUCCUCUGUUGGAGGCUUUGUGGGGAAUUUGGCAGAGCCUGGCCGUUCCUUCACUAAUUCGGCCGUUCUGGAAAAACCACCCAGUUAACAGGUCUGAGCCGCUUCCUCUAAUCCUGGGGACUAGAGGUGACUGCCACUUUGAGGCCAGUUAAAGUUCUUGCCCCCUCCUGGAAGCCCUGCACUGCUGGGAAGCAGGUGGACACACACUUCCAAGAAUGAAUUCCAAGCGAAUUCUCCCAUCACUUCUUUCCCCUAGGAGUGCAGGCUGGGGGAAUGUCUCUCUCAGAUGUCAACUCCCAUGGUCUCAACUAGGCCUCCGGGGAAAGAGGGGGAAAGAGAAUGGGGCAUUCCAGGAUGGGAAUUCCAGGGUGGGCAUUCCAAGGAGUAAGCGGAAUUCUGAGAAGGAGGACACGCAUGAUGCAUGCAUGGCCCAUCCGGAAGGUCCAGGAUCAUCUCCCCAGCCCAAGCCUUUAAACGCAUCUGUGAAGACCGUCUUCCUAUGGAAGUGACAUGGUCCUAGGUUCUAGGGAUUAGGACGCGAUUGCCUCUGUUCAGCUGACCACAGCCACUGAGGGACCCACUAUUGAUCCCCCAUCCAUUUUGAUAAAGGGUUUUAUGAUGUCAGAAACCAUAAGCAGCUCAUCUCCUCACCCUCCGCUGGUGAGUUUGUGAGCAUCUUGGGGGCGGCAUCUGAUGGUCCAUCCUGGUGCUGGUGUGUCAUAGGUGUGGGGGCCUGGUCUGAGGCUGAACGCACAGCAGGACCAGCCUCUGGCCCUCCCCAGCUGGAAGGGGUGAGUUUCACACAUCUUGCUCUAUAGCUCACUCUCCCCUGCCGUUCCCACUGAGACGGUGAGUUCCAGACUGCUCUGGGGGUUACAGGAAACCUCCGGUAUUUGAAGAGGGAGAAAAAGGGCAGAUAAGUAUGAAAAGGAGCCCAAUUUGGAUGCAUCCACUGAGCACUGAAGGGGAGAACUCUUAGGUGGCCCCGUCUCUUUGCAAACAGGCUCAGUCAUUGCAGGCCUCUGAGGCAGCCCUCAGACGGGACCCUGGCUCAGCUCAGCUCAGCCAACAAUAGGCAGCAGAGCUGUGCCCGCCAGGUGGCCUUGCCCUCCUGGGGAGCCAGGGUUGCCUGCGUGAGCCUGAGUCCUCUGGUGGAUACUGCGGCCACCGGCCGUCAGGCCUCUGCAGACACCUGGUCCCUCCUGCUGUUGUCUGCACAGCCUGCGCCUCCACGCCACCCCCACGCCUUGGUUCUGCCUGCACGCCCAGACUCGGUGGGGAGGAGUGAGUCCAACAACUGUUUCCAAACCCUGUGCAGACAGAGCCCUGGCAUCUCACCGUCCCUUCCAAAUACCAGAACCCACCCUGGGCACCCAUGCCCCGAUGGGUCCCAGCCCCGGGUGACGCCCUCCUUGCAUGGAGUAGGGACUCAAACACACCCAGAAACACAGUGUGGCCAGGCCCAGACUCUCUCUUGGUUUUGACCCUGUUGCAGGCCUGACGACCCGUGGGGACACAGUCUCCCUGGGUGGCAAGAUGUCCAUUCAGAAUAAAAUAAAGUUAAAAAUUAAAACUCAACAAGCUGGUGCACAUGCAGUCACCUGCAUAUUCUGCAAUUCAGAGAAUAACAGAUGGUUUUCCAAAAUCGAACUUCCAGGAACAUGUCCCACAUCAUCCUCAACAUAACCAUAAACCUCACCCAAAGGAACGGCAGUCCCACUGGAACGCAAGCCCCUCCGGGUGGCUGAGUCAGUGUGCUCUGUCCCCAGCUCCUAGGAGGAGGGCUGGCUUACGGCAGGUCCUCCAUAAACAUCAUCUGGAAUCUAACCUUGGGGUUCUCCAGCAUGUGUUGGCCACCCCACCUCUUCCCAUUGAUCUCUGGGCCUCCGAUUUUCCUUCUGCAAAAUGGAGCUUACACUCAUGAACAUGCUUGUGUUUGCAAAAGGCGUUACCAGACGUUUAAGAAAUUCUGGGUGUCAACUAACAAGAUUCUAGUUUACGGCAGCAAGUGAACAGUGCCACAUCUUAGCACCAGCGGCCGCGUUUGCUCCGUUGGUGCCUUCAGGUGUGUGCGAUGGUGACUCCCCAGAGUCUCCAUCCAGGAUCCAGCGUUUCUAUAAACCC